rnacentral:rRNA from 1 species
UGCAAGUCGAACGGAAAGGCCGGGUGCUUGCACCUGGUACUCGAGUGGCGAACGGGUGAGUAACACGUGGGUGAUCUGCCCUGCACUUCGGGAUAAGCCUGGGAAACUGGGUCUAAUACCGGAUAGGACCACUGGUUGGUACUGGUGGUGGAAAGUUUUUCGGUGCAGGAUGAGCUCGCGGCCUAUCAGCUUGUUGGUGGGGUAAUGGCCUACCAAGGCGGCGACGGGUAGCCGGCCUGAGAGGGUGGACGGCCACAUUGGGACUGAGACACGGCCCAGACUCCUACGGGAGGCAGCAGUGGGGAAUAUUGCACAAUGGGCGCAAGCCUGAUGCAGCGACGCCGCGUGGGGGAUGACGGCCUUCGGGUUGUAAACUCCUUUCAACCAUGACGAAGCUUUUGUGACGGUAGUGGUAGAAGAAGCACCGGCUAACUAC